UACGGGGGGCGCAAGCGUUGUUCGGAUUUACUGGGCGUAAAGGGCGCGUAGGCGGUCAGCACAAGUCAGUUGUGAAAUCUCCGGGCUUAACUCGGAAAGGUCAACUGAUACUGUGCGACUAGAGUGCAGAAGGGGCAACUGGAAUUCUCGGUGUAGCGGUGAAAUGCGUAGAUAUCGAGAGGAACACCUGCGGCGAAGGCGACUUCCUGGCCUGUUCUUGACGCUGAGGCGCGAAAGCUAGGGUAGCAAACGGG
rnacentral:rRNA from 1 species